GCUCUCAAUUCUGCCCAAGACUAAGGCUGGCCUCGAAAAUGUCAACACUGGUUUUGGGACUGUGGGUGAAAAACUCCCGGAGUGAAGCCAUGCAGAGAAGGAAGGAUUAGAGGUUCUGAUCCCUCUGGGGUGUGGACAGAUCACCCUGCUUGCUGUGACUGAAAGAGACAAUUGGAAUCAUUGCUGUUCAACCUGCCCCAGAGAUGCAGUCCGGCAGGGAUUUUCGGGCCGGCAUCACUGCUAAGAUCAUCUGUCCCAGGAGGCUUCUCCAUCUGCCCUAAAAGAAGAUGGGGUGAUCUGCAUGAAAAGACCCCCUGCUCUUACCCCAAGAGAAAGUGA